rnacentral:rRNA from 1 species
UACGUAGGGUGCAAGCGUUAAUCGGAAUUACUGGGCGUGAAGUGUGCGCAGGCGGUUGUGCAAGACAGAUGUGAAAUCCCCGGGCUUAACCUGGGAAUGGCAUUUGGGACUGCAAGGCUUGAGUUUGGCAGAGGAGACUGGAAUUCCUGGUGUAGCAGUGAAAUGCGUAGAUAUCAGGAGGAAUACCGAUGGCGAAGGCAGGUCUCUGGGCUAGAACUGACGCUCAUGCACGAAAGCGUGGGGAGCAAACAGG